CCUUCUGCUGGGGUGGCGGAGCAGCGCUAGCUGCAGUCGCCGAGGGGGCAGAUGGCUUCACCGCCGGCUCACUACGCAUGGGCCGGACAGCAGCCGGAAGCCGCUGCGACGCUGCCCCCUGACGCGUCACAUCGGCAAAGCUGGUUUUAGACAGGUUUGGCGGCCUCGGCAGUUCUGCGAACUAUGGCCGAACCGCUGGCAUUUGAAACAUCGAAGGGGAUUUGGCACGUAUGGCCUAACACGGAGCUUGAUGUACCCGGCCUCGAUGGACUCGGGCAGGACACUUGAGUUGAAAACGGCGAUCAGGGAGUGGCGGGAAUUGUUCAGCCAUAGGUAUAAAAUUUUUCGGCAGCGA